rnacentral:lncRNA from 1 species
CAAACACAGACCAGAGGGGUGAUGCUAGAAGGAAAGAACAGGGACAAGAGUCAGGGAAAGCUGAGGAGGAAGGGCAGAGAAUCAUAAAUCAUGGAAGGUGCUCCUGAGACGGGAACAUGAUCAGUAUCUCAGAGAGGCAGACAAGGAAAACGUCAGAAGAGAAACUUACCGGACAUAGAGAUAGAGAAGUGAGAUACGCAAAGGGCACAGGCAAGGUACAGCAGUUGCUACUACACUGAGCUUUGAAGGAGCCUGGGCUUUGAAGAUGCAAUGGGCCUAGGUUCUACCCUUGAGGACAAGACCAAAUCCCAUGCCCUCUCUUAAUCAUCAGCAUCUAGCACUGUGCCCAACCAUAAUGAAGUAACAAUAAAUGUCCAUUGGAUUAG